rnacentral:rRNA from 1 species
AGUGAACGCUGGCGGUAGGCCUAACACAUGCAAGUCGAACGGCAGCACAGUAAGAGCUUGCUCUUACGGGUGGCGAGUGGCGGACGGGUGAGGAAUACAUCGGAAUCUACUUUUUCGUGGGGGAUAAAGGAGGGAAACUUACGCUAAUACCGCAUACGACCUACGGGUGAAAGGAGGGGAUCUUCGGAACUUGCGCGGUUGAAUGGACCGAUGUCUGAUUAGCUCGUUGGCGGGGUAAAGGCCCACCAAGGCGACGAUCCGUAGCUGGUCUGAGAGGAUGAUCAGCCACACUGGAACUGAGACACGGUCCAGACUCCUACGGGAGGCAGCAGUGGGGAAUAUUGGACAAUGGGCGCAAGCCUGAUCCAGCCAUACCGCGUGGGUGAAGAAGGCCUUCGGGUUGUAAAGCCCUUUUGUUGGGAAAGAAAAGCAGCAGGUUAAUACCCCGCUGUUCUGACGGUACCCAAAGAAUAAGCACCGGCUAACUUCGUG